rnacentral:misc_RNA from 1 species
GAAUUAUAACAUAGAAAGGUUGUUUAAUGGCAUAGGCUAGUUCGAAAAUGAUAUCCAAAUUCAAAUGUCUGCAAUCAUAGAACUAAUCCAAACUGAAGCCAAGCACACGCAUCAUUACUGCCGAAUAAAGUAAUGAUCAAUUAGAGGUAGCAAGGAUGAAGGAUGCAUGGAUCAUUUAGAAGAAAGAAAGAAAAAAACUUAGGAUGGUGAGGAUCAAAUGAAAUAUUUGUGACCCUUUUCCCCAAUAAAAUAUUUUCACUACGAUAGUUAACCACUAAAUAAUAAAGGAAAUUAAUUCAAAUUAGUCAAGCCUUUCA